rnacentral:rRNA from 1 species
GAGUAACGCGUGGGUAACCUGCCCUGUACAGGGGGAGUAACGGCUGGAAACGGCCGACUAAAACCGCAUAACAUCGGAAUACCGCAUGAUGUUCCGGUCAAUAUUCAUAGGUACAGGAUGGGCCCGCGUCUGAUUAGCUUGUUGGUGAGGUAACGGCCCACCAAGGCGACGAUCAGUAGCCGUACUGAGAGGUAGAACGGCCGCAUUGGGACUGAGACACGGCCCAAACUCCUACGGGAGGCAGCAGUAGGGAAUAUUGGUCAAUGGGGGAAACCCUGAACCAAGGCGACGCCGCGUGAGUGAAGAAGUAUUUCGGUAUGUAAAGCUCUAUCAGCAGGGACGAUAAUGACGGUACCUGACUAAGAAGCCCCGGCUAACUACGUGCCAGCCGCGGC